rnacentral:lncRNA from 1 species
CAGCAUGUGCCUGUCACAUUAUUGAGUUAUCUGCAGAUCUGCUUUCUCUGCUGGAAUCUGAGCAAUGUCCUGGUUCCCUUCCACCCGUGGCUCCAGGAAGGUCGGCCUGUCCUUGCUGAUGACUGGGCUUCCCCGCGCAGCCUCCUCCUGGCCCACUGGGACCCCCGUCAUUGCCCAGAGCCUCUCUCUCCCAUCCCCGCGUGGCCCACUCUGGUGGCUCCUAGCGUCACCUGGUAUGUGGUGCUCCCGGCUCGCUUUGCCACGUGUAACCUGAGCCGUCCCAUGGGCCCUGGCACUCCUGCUGCUGGUCAGGCUCAGCUGAGGUCAUCGGCCCACGCCAGGCCCUGGCUGAGCUUAGGCCUGAGGCCGAGCAGGAGCCGGUCGUCCUCGUGGGAGGCUUGAGCUGUGCUCAUGAACUCGCGCUUUAGAAAGCUCCUUCCAGCGAUCAUAUGAAUAAUCCACUGGAGGACAGCCAGCCAGGAC